rnacentral:rRNA from 1 species
UUGGAGGGCAAGUCUGGUGCCAGCAGCCGCGGUAAUUCUAGCUCCAAUAGCGUAUAUUAAAGUUGUUGCAGUUAAAAAGCUCGUAGUUGAAUUUCAGGAUCAAUUUAUUGGUCGUGCUAUUGUACGUACUGGUAUUAUUGAUUCCUACCUUCUGACGAACCACGAUGUCAUUAAUUUGGUGUCAUGGGGAAUCAGGACUGUUAUUUUGAAAAAAUUAGAGUGUUUAAAGCAGGCUCACGCUUGAAUACAUUAGCAUGGAAUAACGAAAUAGGACGUUUGAUUCUAUUUUGUUGGUUUCUAGGAUCGACGUAAUGAUUAAUAGGGAUAGUUGGGGGCAUUAGUAUUCAAUUGUCAGAGGUGAAAUUCUUGGAUUUAUUGAAGACUAACUACUGCGAAAGCAUUUGCCAAGGAUGUUUUCAUUAAUUAAGAACGAAAGUUAGGGGAUCGAAGACGAUCAGAUACCGUCGUAGUCUUAACCAUAAGCUAUGCCGACUAGGGAUCGGAUGAUGUUAAUUUUUUAAUGACUCAUUCGGCGCCUUACGGGAAACCAAAGUGUUUGGGUUC